CCCACCCACACACAGUUUCACUUUCAUCUUUCGCCGUUGGCCGCCGUCAAUCACAGGCGAUUAUAUUAACGACGUCGUUUCACUUUUCCGAAACUUCUAGAAGGUUCUAGAUUUUUCUAGAAAGAAAUGUGGAGAAGAGUACCUUCGCAGCUUCGAGCCCUAACUCCAAAAUGCAACGUUUCAUCAUCGGAGAUUUCUCGUCCUUGUGUUGCUCUGUAUUUACGGAAUUUUAGCUCUCAAUUUGGAAAUGCUUCUACGAAGAAGGAAGUUGAGCUUGGAAACUUGUUCGAGACCAGAUUGAAUGUGUCUGUUAACAGACAUGCUUCACUGACAUCGCCUUACAAGGUUUAUGGAUCAUGUUUAUCGCAAGAUACUACCAUGGUCCCAAGUUUCCCUAGAAGGUUCAUUACGACAGGUGCUAUUUCCCAAGUUUCUGAAGAUGCUUCUGCUUCUUCUUUGACAACUCCACGUAUCAAAUUUAAGAGACUUGAUAAAACAGCAGCACAUAUAAUGCAGAUUCUUGAUAAGGAAGCUGUUCAAGAAGUAAGGGCGCAGAGCGAGAUUCCUGAUAUAAAGCCUGGUUAUAUUAUCCAGCUCAAAGUGGAAGUGCCGGAGAACAAGAGACGUGUUUCAACUGUCAAAGGCAUAGUGAUAGCAAGGCGCAACGCGGGUUUAAAUACUACAUUCAGAUUAAGAAGACUUGUGGCUGGAGUUGGGGUUGAAAACCUAUUUCAUCUGGAGAUGGUGAAAGCUAAGAGGAAAGACGCUUUCGGUGGGGUGUUUUAGCAUUUGGUAAUUGAGGUGCCAAAAACACACUCUAGGAAAAGCAGGUACUCUCCCAAUCUGAAGGAGAUAAAGGUGCUGGACAAGAAAAAAGUGAGGAGGGCCAAGCUAUACUAUCUCAGGGAUAAAAUGAACGCCCUCAAAAAACACUAAGCUGGUGUGGAAGGGUUGAGCAUAUCAUCUCAAAGUCGUUUCGCCAAUGUAAAAGAUUGCAGCAGAAAACAAUCUCAGUUGUUUCAACUUCCAAUUCUGGGUCACAGGCUUUGCUAUCUAUGUUGAUCAACAUGUAACUUUUACGUUGUCGCAAGUGAUCUUGCCAUAGAAUGAGCAUUUCUCUUUAUUAGUUUCUACAAUGCUCAUAAACUGGGAGUGCUUUUAAAAAAGAUGUGUUGACUGCAUCAGAACUUCAUCACAAGCAAUAUCAAAUUUUUUUACCAACUUUUCGCAAUUUCUGAUGAGCUGUACACUUCUGGUCUCUGUGACCUAUCCGAAGAUAUUCAAAUAAAGCAUAUUUCUUUGCUGCUUAGCACAAA